rnacentral:rRNA from 1 species
UACGGGGGGGGUAAGCGUUGUUCGGAAUUACUGGGCGUAAAGGGCUCGUAGGCGGCCAACUAAGUCAGACGUGAAAUCCCUCAGCUUAACUGGGGAACUGCGUCUGAUACUGGAUGGCUUGGAUUUGGGAGAGGGAUGCGGAAUUCCAGGUGUAGCGGUGAAAUGCGUAGAUAUCAAGUGGAACACCAGUGGCGAAGGCGAGUCUCUGGACAAUUCCUGACGCUGAGGCACGAAAGCCAGGGGAGCAAACGGG